UGGAGGGGGAUAACUACUGGAAACGGUGGCUAAUACCGCAUAACGUCGCAAGACCAAAGAGGGGGACCUUCGGGCCUCUUGCCAUCAGAUGUGCCCAGAUGGGAUUAGCUAGUUGGUGAGGUAACGGCUCACCAAGGCGACGAUCCCUAGCUGGUCUGAGAGGAUGACCAGCCACACUGGAACUGAGACACGGUCCAGACUCCUACGGGAGGCAGCAGUGGGGAAUAUUGCACAAUGGGCGCAAGCCUGAUGCAGCCAUGCCGCGUGUAUGAAGAAGGCCUUCGGGUUGUAAAGUACUUUCAGCGGGGAGGAAGGUGUUGUGGUUAAUAACCGCAGCAAUUGACGUUACCCGCAGAAGAAGCACCGGCUAACUCCGUGCCAGCAGCCGCGGUAAUACGGAGGGUGCAAGCGUUAAUCGGAAUUACUGGGCGUAAAGCGCACGCAGGCGGUCUGUCAAGUCGGAUGUGAAAUCCCCGGGCUCAACCUGGGAACUGCAUUCGAAACUGGCAGGCUUGAGUCUUGUAGAGGGGGGUAGAAUUCCAGGUGUAGCGGUGAAAUGCGUAGAGAUCUGGAGGAAUACCGGUGGCGAAGGCGGCCCCCUGGACAAAGACUGACGCUCAGGUGCGAAAGCGUGGGGAGCAAACAGGAUUAGAUACCCUGGUAGUCCACGCCGUAAACGAUGUCUACUUGGAGGUUGUGCCCUUGAGGCGUGGCUUCCGGAGCUAACGCGUUAAGUAGACCGCCUGGGGAGUACGGCCGCAAGGUUAAAACUCAAAUGAAUUGACGGGGGCCCGCACAAGCGGUGGAGCAUGUGGUUUAAUUCGAUGCAACGCGAAGAACCUUACCUGGUCUUGACAUCCACAGAACUUUCCAGAGAUGGAUUGGUGCCUUCGGGAACUGUGAGACAGGUGCUGCAUGGCUGUCGUCAGCUCGUGUUGUGAAAUGUUGGGUUAAGUCCCGCAACGAGCGCAAC
rnacentral:rRNA from 2 species